AUAACAUAGUGUGGACACUUGUGAAUGAGGUCUUUGAGCAUCUCCCAUGUUUCAUGGAAUAAUUCUCCAUUCAAUUGGAAAAAACUAGUUAUGGCUUUUCGGAUCU